rnacentral:rRNA from 1 species
AUUGAACGCUGGCGGCAUGCCUUACACAUGCAAGUCGAACGGCAGCACGGGAGCAAUCCUGGUGGCGAGUGGCGAACGGGUGAGUAAUAUAUCGGAACGUGCCCAGUCGUGGGGGAUAACGUAGCGAAAGCUACGCUAAUACCGCAUACGAUCUAUGGAUGAAAGCGGGGGAUCGCAAGACCUCGCGCGAUUGGAGCGGCCGAUAUCAGAUUAGGUAGUUGGUGAGGUAAAGGCUCACCAAGCCGACGAUCUGUAGCUGGUCUGAGAGGACGACCAGCCACACUGGGACUGAGACACGGCCCAGACUCCUACGGGAGGCAGCAGUGGGGGAAUUUUUGGACAAUGGGCGCAAGCCUGAUCCAGCAAUGCCGCGUGCAGGAUGAAGGCCUCGGUGUAAC